CUGAACCGUAGAUCAUCUUGCCGUUGACUAGGCUUUGUAAGUAAGGUCACUACUUACCAUUUCGUGAAUCUUGUGAGAGACUUUGCCUGCGUAGAGACGCGUAGGAAGUCAUUUCUUGAGUACGACUUCUCGAGGGUAAGAGACUGCUGUUCAAGCUGAAGUCGCCUGAUUCACGUUCUGAACAGAUACACGUGGAGUGGAAAGAUAGACUACUCAUUCACUAGCGAUGGAAGUUUUAUCAGGUGAAGAUUUUGCGGUAGGGGAACCCAUUCGAGCGUUCCUGAACUGUGAAACUGUGUAUCUUGUCAAACUAGAGUCAGCAAAAAUUCGUCUAGCCUAUUCAACCUUCAUGGAAGGCGAGUAAUAGUCUUGGCUGCUGGUUCAAUUCAACUCCACACUGUAUCAAGCACAUUUCUCAACACAAAACAUGUAAAACUUGAUUCUAGCAUUUGGCAGUGCAUGUGUUGAGUUGAGCGAUUCCUUGCAACUCAGACUUUGCCGAUGCAAGGUCUUACUCGAGAACUCUAAUGUUGUUUUCAAGUUCCACUUUCAUUUGCUUGCUGUUCAAUUAUCUGAAGUAAACCGUCAGCUUCAGCCUCAGUGACAUUUUCGACGAUCAACAUCUUCACUUCUCUAGGAUUACUAGCUAGACUGUAGAUACACGUCUUGAUCAACUGCACCUGCAAAUGAGGUAGAACAGCAUCUGCUUUCUGAUUUAGACAUUACAGCUAUGAAAUAGCUGUGCCUGUGUGUUGUGUAGACAUAACUGUUGCUGGGACUGGCAGCUAGUGCUAAUAAACAGACUGUAGUGUACGUAUACUGUACUGUGAUCUGCGUCAGUACCUAUCGAGUGCAAGUUAUCAUAGUAACAUCUUCGACUUGGCCAAUCACAUAUAUACAGAAGCAAGCUAGACUGCCUAGAAACAACGCGGAACGUCCUACAUGUCUGGAUACCCCAAAUGGGUUCCCAGGUGGCAUGAUUUCACUCGCUAAAACUAAUCCAUCACUAGGCAAUGAGUAGUCUGUCUUUCCACUCCACGUAUAUCUGUUCAGAGAGUGAAUCAGGCGACUU